rnacentral:rRNA from 1 species
CCUACGGGAGGCAGCAGUGAGGAAUAUUGGUCAAUGGGCGCUAGCCUGAACCAGCCAAGUAGCGUGAAGGAUGACUGCCCUAUGGGUUGUAAACUUCUUUUAUAUGGGAAUAAAGUGCAGUAUGUAUACUGCUUUGCAUGUACCUUAUGAAUAAGGAUCGGCUAACUCCGUGCCAGCAGCCGCGGUAAUACGGAGGAUCCGAGCGUUAUCCGGAUUUAUUGGGUUUAAAGGGAGCGUAGACGGGUUGUUAAGUCAGUUGUGAAAGUUUGCGGCUCAACCGUAAAAUUGCAGUUGAUACUGGCAGCCUUGAGUACAGUAGAGGUAGGCGGAAUUCGUGGUGUAGCGGUGAAAUGCUUAGAUAUCACGAAGAACUCCGAUUGCGAAGGCAGCCUGCUGGACUGUAACUGACGCUGAUGCUCGAAAGUGUGGGUAUCAAACAGGAUUAGAUACCCUAGUAGUC